AUGUUGGGAUCCUCUUCUGCA
rnacentral:miRNA from 1 species